rnacentral:rRNA from 1 species
UACGAAGGGGGCUAGCGUUGCUCGGAAUCACUGGGCGUAAAGGGUGCGCAGGCGGGUUUUUAAGUCAGAGGGGAAAUCCUGGAGCUCAACUCCAGAACUGCCUUUGAUACUGAAAGUCUUGAGUAUGGGAGAGGUGAGUGGAACUGCGAGUGUAGAGGUGAAAUUCGUAGAUAUUCGCAAGAACACCAGUGGCGAAGGCGGCUCACUGGCCCAUAACUGACGCUGAGGCACGAAAGCGUGGGGAGCAAACAGG